GAUGAACGCUGGCGGCGUGCUUAACACAUGCAAGUCGAACGGAAAGGCCAGUGCUUGCCCUGGUACUAGAGUGGCGAACGGGUGAGUAACACGUGGGUGUUCUGCCCUGCACUUCGGGACAAGCCUGGGAAACUGGGUCUAAUACCGGAUAGGACAAUGGUUUGGAUGCCGUUGUGGAAAGUUUUUUCGGUGUGGGAUGAGCUCGCGGCCUAUCAGCUUGGUGGUGGGGUAAUGGUCUACCAGGGCGUCGACGGGGAGCAGGCCUGAGAGUGUGUACGGCCGCAUUGGGACUGUGAGACAGCCAGGACUCGUACGGAUGGGAGAAGGGGGGAAUAUUGGACAAUGGGAGCAAGCGUGAUGGAGCAAGGCCGCGUGGGGGAUGACGGCCUUCGGGUGGUAGACACCUUUCGCUGGGGACGAAGCGUAUUUGUGACGUUACCUGGAGAAGAAGCACCGGCUAACUACGUG
rnacentral:rRNA from 1 species